ACGAGGGGGAGGCGCCGGUCAGCAGCGCGUCACCCACGUGGUCGCCGUCGGCCAGCCGCCCGAGCCCGGCCGAGCCGUCGUAGGCGCCGCGCGCCGACUUCUCCAGCUUGCCGUGCGCGACCAGCAGCACCUCCUCGACGGGACGGCCCUGCUCGGCGACGACCUGGUCCGGCUCGUACUCGCGCUGCUCGAACAGCCCGGCGAGCUCCGCCAGCGCCUCGGCGUCGUCGAAGCCCCGCAGCGCGGGCAGCUCGCACAACUCACCCGGGAUCACCCUGACGUCGGCGCCCGUCGAGGUGAAGCUCACCCUGCCGUCGCCGACCUGGUAGGUGAGGCGCCGGUUGACGCGGUAGGCGCCACCUGUCACCUCCACCCACGGCAGCACCCGCAGCAGAUGCCGAGGGGUGAUCUCCUGCAUGAACGGCACGGACUUGGUGGUGGUCGCCAGAUUCCUGGCGGCCGCCGUGCUCAGGCUCAGCGCGGUCACGAGGCGG
rnacentral:antisense_RNA from 1 species